ACUCUAUUAGGUACACAGGGUGGAGAAUAGUUAUUCUGUGCCCCGGUCAGUCUAACUAGCCACGCCCGGACUCCACCCGAUCGAACCUGACGCGUAAUUCAUCUUUGUUUUGUUUACAACGACGGUUUUCUCCUGAUUGAGCCCACCUUCCGCUCGAAGAAAAGCCCAAAAUCGUGCGUGUGGUUCGGUCGGAAUCGGGGUGGCGUUUCGGCGGCGACUGGCGAGCGGCUGCAGCUGGAAUUGCGGCGAGCCUAGGUGGCAGCCGCGGCUGGGGAACGCGGCUGAGAGGGGCGCGAGAGCAGACGCUCGCCGGCGCCGGCGCCGGCGGUUGGGGAAGGCGCAGGCGGCGGCGGCUGGCUACCACCACAUCACCGGCCACCACCCCAAGGUCCUCCGCUGCCAGAAACCAGCAUCCUAUCGACGAUGUCUUCCCAGAACUGCAGCGACGAGAUGGAGCUUAGAAGAGCUGGAUUAGGGAGGGUUGUCAUGGCUAGCUGCGGCUCUUGUUGGAGGGUUUCUCGCGCCGUCGCUGCUUGCUGCUAUAGCUGCCGGCGCCUCUGCCGGCGCCGCUGCCGGUGCCGCCGUAGUCUAAUCUUGCCGCGGCCACAAGCUCGAGGCCCACUACAGUACCUUAGGCGGCGCUGCCUUGGUCGGCGGGUGCGCCUUGCCCCGUGCGGUGUCAUGCCCAAUCGGGAUGAACAACCAGAGAUACAGAGAAAGGGGAUGAGGAGCAGAGAAGUUUAGGUGAGGGUUCAGAAUUCUUCCUUACAUCGAUAAGAAAAGACUGAGUAACCAGGGCUGGCUUAUACAAUGCCAGCUUCAGACUUAAAACUGGAGCCCAAACCUGGAUGGAUUACUCAUCACCUGCUCCUCUUGACUUGGUGGAAGACGCCUUUUCUUCCGUUGCCUUCUCCUUGUGGCUGAUACUUCUAGUAGCUGUAUUUUCCGAUGCCUUUUCUUUAUGAUUGAGUGCAGGUUCAGUUUCUUCA